AGCUGGAUGGUGUAGUGGUAACACAACUGACUCUGGAUCAGUAUUCGAGGGUUCGAAUCCUUCUCCGGCUGCCA
rnacentral:tRNA from 1 species